rnacentral:lncRNA from 1 species
GACUGGCUUACUGGCCUCAGUCCAUGCUGAAGAAAUACCUCUUUCUUUAUCCAACAGGUUACCUGAUGGUCCAAAGAAGAUCUCCAGCUAGAAAGAAAGGAGAGUGGGUCUUGUGUCUGCUUCUCUAGCUAAGACCUAGAAAGACUGUCUUACCUAAGUCACCUGCCAUUUCUUGACUGUGCAGGACAGUGAUGUCAGCUUCUGAGUUCCAUCUUUUUGGAGGAAACCUCUUGGGCCUCCAGUUCUCACUCUUCAGAUACAGAGGAUGUGAGUUGCACCCUGAGCCCUCUCGCUCUCAGCUGAGUGAAGCGUGCUUCGGGGCACAUCUGGCUGGACCCCUGUCUGGCAGUGAGUUUUGUCUCUGGGUUCUCAGGUAAAUUACAGGUGGAUUCCAAGGGCCCCACAGAACCAUUUCAAGUAUCUACAUUGUAUUAUGGGGAUUAAGACUUCUUUAAAGUUCCUGUUUCUUUUUCUGGCAUCUGGGGCCAGUUCCAUUAGCCAUCAAUCUAGGAGCUUAGAUAAGAACCAGCCUUUGGAGAUUGUUCCCCUGUCCUGCCCGGGCACAUUUUCAGCUCCAGAUCAGAUGCCUCCUUAGUCUAGGUCAUUCCCCUGAAAUGUGUCCAUUGAAGUGUUCCUUCCUUUCUCCUUUCUUCUUUCCCUCCCUCCUUCCUUCCACAAAUAUGUUUCCGAGUGGCUGUCACAUACCUGUCACUAUUAUACACAGGAGAAGUUUGGCGGUGAGGAAAUUGGAUUAACUGCCAUCAUAGUUCAUAUAUUCUAGUGAGGGAACCCAGGAUAAGCCCAUGAAGACGUUAAAGCAGAGUAAAGUCAGUUGGUCAUGGAAGGUUACUUGUGAGGAGGUGACGUUGAGCCAGAACCUGGAUGCUGUGAAGGACAGAACCAUGCAAAGAUGUGAGGAAAAUAAGAUUUAUCUUCCUCUACAAGAGCAAAGAAACUAGGAAGGUGGAAGGAAGAGCACCUUGCUGAUUCAUUUUAGUCUUCUAGAAAAGAUUCUAUCCCCUCUAACCAUUGCAGGGUUUAGAAUCAAAGGAACAAGGAGUAAAAAUAAGGAUGUGUCCUUGAUGCUUCUGUUUCUGAGGUUGUCAUAGCAAAGGAAGAUGUGGAAUGGGAAGUCAGUGACCACCAUCCAUUAUCCAUUUGUGGGAAGGAACCUAAUGAUCUAGCCACACACUUACCCAGGGGCAAUGGAGCCCAUUUUAUUUAUUUGUUUAUUUUGAGAGAGAGAGAGAGAGAGAGAGAGAGAGAGAGAGAGAGAGAGAGAGCAGGGGAAGGGCAGAGAGAGGGGGAGAGAGACCAUCCCAAGCAGUCGCUUUGAUGUUAGCCCAGAGCCCGAGAUCAGGACCUGAGCCGAAAUUG